GGCCGGCGAUGCGUCCUGGUCGGA
rnacentral:siRNA from 1 species